rnacentral:lncRNA from 1 species
CAUUGCUUUCAUCGAAUAGUAACUGUAGUGUUUAUACAUAGAAUUGAAAACAAAAGAAGCCUUUCAAUGAUAACAAUUGCCUGUUUUAUACAUGAAAAUAGUGCAUCAGAUCAGCCAUGCUAUAGUCGAAUGUAAAAGGAAUAAAUAUAUGUUGGAUCCAUGUAUGUGCAAUUAUCUUGUUCCCUAAGCUGAAUAUCAUCAACAUGCAGGUAAUUCAUUAACUAUCCUCUAGAACAAAGGAGACGACCAAAUGUUGCCACCUACACAAAAACUUGUAGAGAAAGAUCACCUUGUAUAAAUGAACUUAAAACCUACCAAUUCAGCAUACCCAAUAGUCACUAACCUUCAACUCUCAAGAACAAAGAAAGUACCAAUUUGAGAUGCGAACUAAUGGAUAAUAAUAUGGCACAAACGAAAAGCCAGACAAAAGAAAAAUUAUUCCAACAAGAAAUAUGUAUCUUUUCGGUGGAUCUUUGAAUAUACGAUGAUGAAGGCCUUCAACCUGAAAAGGAGGAUGAACAUUAAGUCAGCAUUGGACUUACUAAAUAAGACGUAGAACAAUCCAUCUACAAAUGAGACUGCAUCCAUGGUGCUUGGCUCAACACCUGCACAUCUCAGUCACCAUGCAACAGUUGGAACUGGGGACAUAAAAUUAAUGGAAGAGUGGCAUAAGCAGGUCCACCGGACCUUCGUUGCCCCUGCUUGUAAGCUUAUCAUCAAUAGGACGGAGUAGCUUGAUGGCUUCCUCCCUGCUGUAGAGUCAGCUCACCAAAAAACGCUACCAUUGCCAUGCUAGAAGCUCGACCAAGAGGUCUUCUGAUGCACACAUCACAUACGCCAAUUGAGAGCCGCCUCGACAAAGAUGGGGGCUGGCUCCAGCUUCUUGAUGUCAUUUAUUUAGCCCCAUAAAGAGGGAGCAUAAAUAAACUGAUGUAAAACAAAUUGUCAAGUAAAAAGCAAACUCACUGAUGCACUAACUGUACCUAAUACUACGUAAAAGAUAGUUAUACUGGAAUUCUAAUACAAAGGUCUUGUGUCGCACCUGCAGGUAGUGGGUAAUGCAAGUGGAUAGCAGUUGGACAUGACGCCAUGUAAUUCAGUAGUGUGUUUGUUUCUAUGGGCUAUGACCCUUAAUCUGUACCAAACAGAAGUGUGGGCAUGUAUUAGCAUGUAGUAUUCUGGAUCUCACGUGCUACUCUCUUUUCCUCACCUUCUUUCUCUCCAAGUCUCAUCUACUUCCUGCACCGACCCCAUCCCCUGGUGCGAUCUUGUAUUCCUGGUCCCUUGGCGAUGAGGUCGUCAUAGUAUGUUUCAAAUUGCCAAAGAUGAAAGAACAAAAUAAUUCAAUGGGGUCUGAUUUUGUGAAGGAUGAAAAGUAAUCAUUCGCAUCCACUAAGACAAUUCGCCAAUGUAAUCACUCGCAGCCACUAAGACAACCCACCCUCACGCUCCACCUGAACUGAAAAGGAAUACACAAAUGCAAACCUAUAUCUGCAUCUUCGAGACCAAAACACAAUCAGAUCUGCUUCUUUCAUUGGAUCUAGAAACCAGCAACACUCGCACACGCACACAAAACAGUGGAUAAUCUGGACACACAAUAAAGAUGUGCGUGUUAGCGAGAGGAGCGGACGAAUCAAGUCACUGUGGCUUGGAUGUACUCUAACAGGGGGCAGAGACCUUAGAUCAGCGCCGGAUAAUGUUAAAUCGGGCCAAGCCUAGGUAUGGUUGGAGGAAGGCGUGGAGGGAGGCAACUUACGUGCAGAGGAUCAUGUAGUCCUCGGAGCUGCGGCUCCGGCUUGCCCUCGAGUAUGUUGAGCCCUUUUGCAUGAAGUUUCAUCCAUCCCCUCCAGAUCAAUCGGCAUGCGUUCCUGCCGUUGCCCUGCCAUCGCCGUCGUAGCCGCCAGUCCUACCUGACUACGGUCGCAAAUCCUAGAGGGGGCUGGAUUCCAUUGGGUCUUAUGCUCCAUGGGGAUUUGUGUCGUUUGGGGAGAGAUAAAUGAGGGGACGGCAGACCGAGCGGGGCAGUUUAUGAGGAGGGAUUCCAUUGCCCGCUUCCACUUCUGUGGCUCGAGAAGGAGGGUCCCUUAGGGACGCGAACUAGGAGCACUCGGCGACUACGCUCAUUGGAGUCUCAGCCGCUGCACUGCUGUUU